rfam:Pelodiscus sinensis unplaced genomic scaffold scaffold1046, whole genome shotgun sequence.
GUCAUGAUGAUUGUCCUUACACGUGUUAGAACUUCUGACACAGAUGAAGUGAAACCAAGUCUGAGC